rnacentral:rRNA from 1 species
AGUGAACGCUGGCGGUAGGCCUAACACACGCAAGUCGAACGGCAGCACAGAGGAGCUUGCUCCUUGGGUGGCGAGUGGCGGACGGGUGAGGAAUACAUCGGAAUCUACUCUGUCGUGGGGGAUAACGUAGGGAAACCUACGCUAAUACCGCAUACGACCUACGGGUGAAAGCAGGGGACCUUCGGGCCUUGCGCGAUUGAAUGAGCCGAUGUCGGAUUAGCUAGUUGGCGGGGUAAAGGCCCACCAAGGCGACGAUCCGUAGCUGGUCUGAGAGGAUGAUCAGCCACACUGGAACUGAGACACGGUCCAGACUCCUACGGGAGGCAGCAGUGGGGAAUAUUGGACAAUGGGCGCAAGCCUGAUCCAGCCAUACCGCGUGGGUGAAGAAGGCCUUCGGGUUGUAAAGCCCUUUUGUUGGGAAAGAAAUCCAGCUGGCUAAUACCCGGUUGGGAUGACGGUACCCAAAGAAUAAGCACCGGCUAACUUCGUGCCAGCAGCCGCCGUAA